GGGCACCCCCACUCCCCCGACCCUGGAAGUACUUCGGUAAAAAGUCUGAGCUGCCCGCAUCUAGGAGGAGGUGGGUAGGGUGGGGGAGGCACGGCAAAAUCGAUACGCCCGGUCCUUAACCUGUAAUUGCACCUUCCAGGGCUGAGCGGAAAGGGACCCUCUGCCCGCAUCCCGCCCGCGCGCCCGCCAGGGAGAGCAGCCGCCGCCGUCGCUGCCCGGCUCAGAGGGAUCCCGCCGGACCUGGCCCUUCCACUGCGGCUCACUCUGCCCUGCCUGGCGCCAGUCCUGGAUCGCCGGCUUCCCAUUUCUACCGGACUGGGUUCCUCUCGAUUCACUUUACCAUCCCGUUCCAGGCUGGCGACUUCGCUGCUGAGCUGAAACUGCUAAUUUCUGUGACCAGCUUUUUUCUUAGCUGUGAUCUGGAUGAAUGAGUAGCUGUCUCACAGAGAUGACAAAAAUAAACUCUAA
rnacentral:lncRNA from 1 species